GCUUAACCGAAGAAGGGCAUCGGAAACUGGAUGACUUGAGUGCAGAAGAGGGCAGUGGAACUCCAUGUGUAGCGGUGGAAUGCGUAGAUAUAUGGAAGAACACCAGUGGCGAAGGCGGCUGCCUAGUCUGCAACUGACGCUGAGGCUCGAAAGCAUGGGUAGCGAACAGGAUUAGAUACCCUGGUAGUCCAUGCCGUAAACGAUGAGUGCUAGGUGUUGGAGGGUUUCCGCCCUUCAGUGCCGCAGCUAACGCAAUAAGCACUCCGCCUGGGGAGUACGACCGCAAGGUUGAAACUCAAAGGAAUUGACGGGGGCCCGCACAAGCGGUGGAGCAUGUGGUUUAAUUCGAAGCUACGCGAAGAACCUUACCAGGUCUUGACAUCUUGCGCUAACCUAAGAGAUUAGGCGUUCCCUUCGGGGACGCAAUGACAGGUGGUGCAUGGUCGUCGUCAGCUCGUGUCGUGAGAUGUUGGGUUAAGUCCCGCAACGAGCGCAACCCUUGUUACUAGUUGCCAGCAUUCAGUUGGGCACUCUAGUGAGACUGCCGGUGACAAACCGGAGGAAGGUGGGGACGACGUCAGAUCAUCAUGCCCCUUAUGACCUGGGCUACACACGUGCUACAAUGGACGGUACAACG
rnacentral:rRNA from 1 species